rnacentral:lncRNA from 1 species
AUGCUCUCUUAUUCGUACCAACCUCGCACAACACCGCUCCCUUAUUCUCGUCCCGCGGUUUUGGAAACUAUACCGGAAGACUUGGUGACGCUCGACUACCUGGUCGGCAUUGCAUCGCUAGGCAACGAGUACUCUUUUGUGCAAUACAAGCCCACCGAGGAACACAAAAGAUGCGCCGGACUAAAACUUGACCACGUUCAGCGGAUCAACGCCUUUGUCCAGACACUGCGAGACAGGUCUGUGCCGAUAGAGACGUGCCUACACACAACGCUUGUACCGUCGGCCAAAAAGACUUUUUGGAUAAGGGUGUCCCUGGCAGACCUAACAGAACUCAGCUUGGAAAAUCUCUGGAUGAUAAGGGGUAGAGUCCAGCUGCACUCAAAACAGCAGUAUGUCACACUCGCGAUAGAAGACCGUUGCCUGCAACCCUGCUUCCUGGACCCUGAGUCUCAGCUGCUCUUCUCUCAACCUGACACGAGCUGCAAGGACAAAUUCUUAAGUCUAGCCAAGGAAGGUCUAAUUGGUUCCACUCGGGAGGACAAAGACAGCCAUGUGGGUGAAGGUGACAAAACUGAUGAUGAUGAUGAUGUUGGUUGUGGUGGUGGUGGUGGUAACUGUCAUCACGAUAACAACUCAAAUAGGAGCAAGAGGGAGGACCCUUGCAAAGAGAGACAAAAGCGUGAAAUGUGUAGACACCAGGAUGAGGUGUCUUACGCCUUGUCGCAUAAUAAGAGACACAAACCCUCUUUCAGUAGCCACGGCUCUGAGCUCAAGUUGCCAACGGAAGAAGUAGAGCAAACAACAAAGUCAAACUUUAAACAUGCAAUGUUUAAUCACACAAUGCAAACCGAAAUGAAAACAAGACAACACAACAAAACAGUAGCAAAUGCUGUGUUCGCUAGAGCUAUGAGAUGUCGUCAGCGUGGUCGCCGCAAGAAUCCAAACUCCCCUAAGUGCAAGGAUCUGUUAGCUCCCUCACCCGCAGCAUUUUGCCUCAGACCUUCUUCUGCUUCUGUCACCGCGGUUGCAGACGUUUCUCCCAGUUGGCCGGGGAACCUUAAAGAGAACCCAGAAAGGUGGGUUGAAGUACAGUCCCCUCUCAAGGACCCUGAGAGGCCUUCUUCCGCCGCUAUCCCGUCCUCUGACAUCACACCGACUGAAUCUCCCCUGUGCCGGCAACACCUCGAGCUCCAACAAGAGACCCCUCAGCGACAAACGGCCGGUUGGGGUUGCUCCUUGAUGUAG